AUUGAACGCUGGCGGAAUGCUUUACACAUGCAAGUCGAACGGUAGAGGGGGCAACCCCUCGAGAGUGGCGAACGGGUGAGUAAUAUAUCGGAACGUGCCCAGUCGUGGGGGAUAACGUAGCGAAAGUUACGCUAAUACCGCAUACGAUCUACGGAUGAAAGCGGGGGAUCGUAAGACCUCGCGCGAUUGGAGCGGCCGAUAUCAGAUUAGGUAGUUGGUGGGGUAAAGGCUCACCAAGCCAACGAUCUGUAGCUGGUCUGAGAGGACGACCAGCCACACUGGAACUGAGACACGGUCCAGACUCCUACGGGAGGCAGCAGUGGGGAAUUUUGGACAAUGGACGCAAGUCUGAUCCAGCCAUUCCGCGUGCAGGAUGAAGGCCCUCGGGUUGUAAACUGCUUUUGUACGGAACGAAAAGGUUUCCAUUAAUACUGGGAGCUCAUGACGGUACCGUAAGAAUAAGCAUCGGCUAACUACGUGCCAGCCGCCGCAGUAA
rnacentral:rRNA from 1 species